UGCUGGGCUGAACAGAAUCACCUGGUCAAUUGGCAUUUUUUCUGCCGUUGUUGGCUUGCGCGUGUUGCCAUUGGCCGCGUCGCGUGACGUAAUCGGUCAUGACCUGAGAGGAGUGCAGUGAGGCAGAGAAACGAAGUCGGGAAAACAUAUUAAAAUCAACCUUGGAAGCGUUGGCUCGGUUUAUCAGUACUAUUAGAAAACUUUGUAACUAAAGAAACCUGGGUGCUCAAAGGAGCUUUGGAGCUGUUUUUUGUCGAACACGAGUGAGGCUGGACGCUGAAUACACCUGCGACGCGAAGGUUUACUGGUUCAGCUGCUGCAGCCUGGACAGAAACACCAGCUCCCACCUGACAAACACAAACAGGUGUCACCACAUGGUCCACGACAUCGUCCUGCAAAAAUCGCAGCGAUGGAGUUCCCCGAUUUGACGGCACUGUCCGCGAUCAGAGACUUUAUACAAUGAGGAAGUUCUUUGAGACCAGGACUGCAGCCUCCAGGUAAUUCACAAACAGCUUUACAUCAACUGUCCAACACAGAGCAUUAAAUUAUAUGUCUUCAGUAAUUGAUCUGAAGUCUGAAUAGUUUGAUUAGUCACAAAAAAGACUUUAGAAUUUAAACAUCAGCUCUCUCUGCCUCCAAACAAAUAUUUGACAUUCUUGGUUUAAAAAAAUAUGUAUCAGAAUAGUUGUCAAUGUUUUGUCUGUGGACAAAUUGACAGUAGCUGUCCUCACCUUCUCACCAAACCGUUUCAAACACAUCAGAACCAACCAAUGCUAAAUUUUGUCUUAGAUCGUUAUUGUUAAGGAUCAGUCAAAAUGGGAUUGAAGAAUAACUUUAAUUUGAUUGUACAUGAUCAGAAGACUAAGCUAGACACACUAGACUACACCGUACUAAAUAAUAUCAAUUCUACAAAUACAGUGUUGCAGUGACUUGUUCGUGUGUUCAUUUUAUUAAUAUUAAAUUGAUUUAAAAAAUAUCUUUACAAUGUAUAACAACCAGUUCUACACUUAUUUACUUAAAAAUUU